CGCGGUAUAAAGGGCCGGCGGGGCGGGUGCGGUCGGUUGUGUGUGAGGGCUGAGGGCGCGGCCCCGCUGCUGCCCGGGCUGCGGAGGGGAGAGCGCCUUGGCCGCUGGCCUGGCUCGUGGUUUCCCCUGGUGCUGGGGAGUGGAGGCGAGUUGUGCUUCCUGCUGGGAGAGAGAAGGGCCUUGGGAAGCUGCUCCAUGAGCCACAGCUGUGCCGAGCCCGGGAGUCUGUCCAGCAGGAUGUCGAGUGCCACCGUGUCCCUGAGGUUCCCCUUUCUCCUGUUGGGAGAGCACGAGGUGGAUGGAGAGGAUCCCCAGGCAUCUGCAGGCAAAAGGGACUCACACAACUGCAGUUUUCCUACAGCCCUCGUGGGAGGGACUUUGAGGGUACCAUGGGAUGUGAAUGCAAGAACCUGCCAAGAAAACCAAUGGCCAAGAUGAUUGAUGAGUGCAGGACCUGAGAGAAGCACCUUGAAUGACAACCUCGAGCAGUUUCCAGUAUUGGAUUGCAAAGAUGGCCUUUGCUGCAUCUACUUGAGCAAGGAAAGCCAAGAAACCUUUGCUUUGGCAGGAGAAAAUCUGGAAAGCGGGAAGGAAGAAAAGCAGCCCCCUGACUCCUCCUGAGCCCCAGACAGCCCAUGAACUGCCUUCCUGGGAAUGGUGGGACCGGGUGGACUCUGGAUUGCUCUCUCUGGAUGUGUGGUAAGACUGUUAUGCCAACUUUUCCAACAGCCUGUAAGAAUUUGCUGCCUUGGCUAGAUGGUGCAAGGGCAGCCUUGAAGCAGGUGAAGCAUUCCCUGAGGAGAGCUCUGGGUCUACCAGAUCUCUCAGAACUGUUGGAAGCAUCUUUGGUGGGGAGGGCAAACAAAGGCCAAGGUGUUCAGUGACCCCCCUGAGAAAG